UACGGGGGGAGCAAGCGUUGUUCGGAUUUACUGGGCGUAAAGGGCGCGUAGGCGGUCGUGACAAGUCACUUGUGAAAUCUCCGGGCUUAACUCGGAACGGUCAAGUGAUACUGUCGGACUAGAGUACAGAAGGGGCAACUGGAAUUCUCGGGUGUAGCGGUGAAAAUGCGUAGAUAUCGAAGAGGAACACCUGCGGCGAAGGCGGGUUGCUGGGCUGAUACUGACGUGAGGCGCGAAAGCCAGGGGAGCGAACGGG
rnacentral:rRNA from 1 species